AAUUUUAGUGGAGGAAAUAGUUAGUAAUUCGUCCAAGCCCAACUUGAUAAAGGAUGAGAGGAAGAUGAUGCUGAAGCAGAGGAUGAAGAAAUAGACAAGUUUUGCAGUAAAUGUUCGAGGUAUUAGAAACAGUCGACGGAGGAGGAGGAUGAAGAGGGAAACGAAAGAGAGGAAUGACAUUUCUUGCCUCUCCAACAACAGGAAAAGCAUCGCUGUUGCCAGAGGAGGAGGAUGAAGAGGGAAAAGGAAAACCAGCCAUGGGCGACUGCUUGAGCAGAGCUAUGAGUUCUAAAAGAGGGAGGGAAAGCAGCCACUUGUUGUCGCUAGCUGCUUGCGAAGGAAGGCCUUACACGGCAGCUCCUGAAGGGAAGGGAGGAUUCAUUUCAUCGCAGUAGCCGGAGAAGGAUGAAGAGGGAAAAGAAAAGCAACCAUGGGAGACUGCUUGGGUAGGGUUGCGAGUUCUAAAAGAGAGAGAAAAAGUGACCACUUGUGGUCAUUGGUUGCUCGCAAAGGAGGCUUUGUGCAAUAGCUCACGAAAGAAAGGGAAGUCCUGCACUAAUGUUGUUCUUUGUUUUUUUUUUC